UAUAUGGAAGUAAGACUCCUGAAAGAUGAUCAGGUAGAUAGGUUAGAAGUGGAAGCGUAGUGAUACGUGAAGCGGACUAAUACUAAUCAGUCGAGGACUUAACCAAG
rnacentral:rRNA from 1 species